rnacentral:rRNA from 1 species
AUUGAACGCUGGCGGCAGGCCUAACACAUGCAAGUCGAACGGUAACAGGAAGCAGCUUGCUGCUUUGCUGACGAGUGGCGGACGGGUGAGUAAUGUCUGGGAAACUGCCCGAUGGAGGGGGAUAACUACUGGAAACGGUAGCUAAUACCGCAUAACGUCGCAAGACCAAAGAGGGGGACCUUAGGGCCUCUUGCCAUCGGAUGUGCCCAGAUGGGAUUAGCUAGUAGGUGGGGUAACGGCUCACCUAGGCGACGAUCCCUAGCUGGUCUGAGAGGAUGACCAGCCACACUGGAACUGAGACACGGUCCAGACUCCUACGGGAGGCAGCAGUGGGGAAUAUUGCACAAUGGGCGCAAGCCUGAUGCAGCCAUGCCGCGUGUAUGAAGAAGGCCUUCGGGUUGUAAAGUACUUUCAGCGGGGAGGAAGGGAGUAAAGUUAAUACCUUUGCUAAUUGACGUUACCCGCAGAAGAAGCACCGGCUAACUACGUG